AGUGAACGCUGGCGGUAGGCCUAACACAUGCAAGUCGAACGGCAGCACAGUAAGAGCUUGCUCUUACGGGUGGCGAGUGGCGGACGGGUGAGGAAUACAUCGGAAUCUACUUUUUCGUGGGGGAUAACGUAGGGAAACUUACGCUAAUACCGCAUACGACCUACGGUUGAAAGCAGGGGAUCUUCGGACCUUGCGCGAUUGAAUGAGCCGAUGUCGGAUUAGCUAGUUGGCGGGGUAAAGGCCCACCAAGGCGACGAUCCGUAGCUGGUCUGAGAGGAUGGUCAGCCACACUGGAACUGAGACACGGUCCAGACUCCUACGGGAGGCAGCAGUGGGGAAUAUUGGACAAUGGGCGCAAGCCUGAUCCAGCCAUCCCGCGUGGGUGAAGAAGGCCUUCGGGUUGUAAAGCCCUUUUGUUGGGAAAGAACAGCAGCAGGUUAAUACCCCGCUGUUCUGACGGUACCCAAAGAAUAAGCACCGGCUAACUUCGUG
rnacentral:rRNA from 1 species